rnacentral:rRNA from 1 species
AGCAGUCGCCGCGGGAAUACGUAGGUCCCGAGCGUUGUCCGGAUUUAUUUGGCGUAAAGUGAGCGCAGGCGGUUAGAUAAGUCUGAAGUUAAAGGCUGUGGCUUAACCAUAGUACGCUUUGGAAACUGUUUAACUUGAGUGCAAGAGGGGAGAGUGGAAUUCCAUGUGUAGCGGUGAAAUGCGUAGAUAUAUGGAGGAACUCCGGUGGCGAAGGCGACUUUCUGGACGAAAACUGACGCUGAGGCUCGAAAGCGUGGGGAGCAAACAGGAUUAGAUACCCCAGUAGUCCCUGUCUCUUAUACA